rnacentral:rRNA from 1 species
GAUGAACGCUGGCGGCGUGCCUAAUACAUGCAAGUCGAGCGGACAGGCCAUGCUCUUGCGGGGUGCUCGAGAGCGGCACGGGUGUGUGUCACGCGAGUAUCAUCUACCUGUCUUUGGGAUAUAUUUAGGAAACUGGGGCUAAUAUCGCAUAGGAGCUCUUGCUGCAUGGGGGGGGUUGGAGAGUUUCGGCGGUUGGGGAUGGUCUAGGGGCGUAUGAGCCAGAUGGGCGGGUAGUGGAUUACAAAGGUUUUGACGGGUAGCCGACCUAAGAGGGGGAUCGGCCGCCCUGGAGGUGAGCCACGGUCCAGACGACUACGGGAGGCAGCAGUAGGGAACCUUAGGCAACGGGCGAAAGCCUGACGGAGCAACGCCGCGUCAGUGAUGAAGGCCUCCGGAUCGUAAAACCCUGUUUUGAGGGAUGAACAACUGUCUCCGUAAAUAUGCCCGUAUUGACGGUAACGAAUAAGAAAGCACCGGCUAACUACGUG